rnacentral:rRNA from 1 species
ACGUACACUCCUACGGGAGGCAGCAGUGGGGAAUAUUGGACAAUGGGCGCAAGCCUGAUCCAGCCAUGCCGCGUGAGUGAUGAAGGCCCUAGGGUUGUAAAGCUCUUUCACCGGUGAAGAUAAUGACGGUAACCGGAGAAGAAGCCCCGGCUAACUUCGUGCCAGCAGCCGCGGUAAUACGAAGGGGGCUAGCGUUGUUCGGAUUUACUGGGCGUAAAGCGCACGUAGGCGGACUAUUAAGUCAGGGGUGAAAUCCCGGGGCUCAACCCCGGAACUGCCUUUGAUACUGGUAGUCUUGAGUUCGAGAGAGGUGAGUGGAAUUCCGAGUGUAGAGGUGAAAUUCGUAGAUAUUCGGAGGAACACCAGUGGCGAAGGCGGCUCACUGGCUCGAUACUGACGCUGAGGUGCGAAAGCGUGGGGAGCAAACAGGAUUAGAUACCCUAGUAGUCCCA